rnacentral:lncRNA from 1 species
ACAAAACUAAAUUACAUAAAAUGUUCUGUCAAAAUCUGAUUUUUCACUUUUCCCCCUGUCAGUUAAAAACCUACACUUUGCUCCUUUAUAAAAUGAAAAAUAUUCACUUCGCCCCUGCUGUUAGUAAUCCGUUAUGAUUCCGUUUAUAAAAUAUUAUUAUAUAUUUUUAUGCCAAAAAUGCCCUCAGCUUUUUCUCCUGUGAGCAUGGUGGGGACAAAAUGGUCAUUUUAUCAUCACAAUUCAUACCGUACCCCCCUCCCCCUGUGAACAUUUUUUAUUUUACAAGGGGGCAAAGUGUAGGUUUUUAAAUGAUAGAAAGGAAAAGUGAAAAAGCAGGUUUUGACAGAAGGUUUUCUGUAAUUUAGCCUUAAUUUUAAUUUGAAACCAACCUAAGAUAUCCCAUCUCAUUUUA